rnacentral:lncRNA from 1 species
UUCCAACUACCGAUGCUUAUCUUUAUAAGGCACGAGCUGGGGUUAGAGAGAUUCACUUCCUCCCCUUCAAUCCAACUGACAAAAGGACUGCCCUGACAUAUUUGGAUGCCAAUGGCAAAAUGCAUAGAGUUAGCAAAGGUGCACCAGAACAGGUACAAAAUCAGAACCUUCCAAACAGACACAGGCUCUCACUUUUAUUCUAUCAAGACAUCUGAACUCUUCGUGGCGUAAUUUGCAUUGCAAUACUCAGAUUCUCAACCUGGCAUAUAACAAAUCAGAAAUCGCCAGUAAGGUUCAUGCGAUCAUCGACAAAUUUGCAGAACGCGGAUUGAGAUCCCUUGGAGUUGCCCACCAGGUGAAUUACCAUCUAUGAUCCAAAUAAAAGAACACAAUUUCCAUGCUAGUCAUUCUGAAUCAAUGGAACAACUCACUCUGAUUGCAGCAAGUUCCUAACGGGGAUAAGGACAGCACAGGUGGACCAUGGGAAUUUGUUGGCCUCCUACCCCUCUUCGACCCUCCUCGUCAUGACAGUGCUGAAACAAUUAGAAGAGCUUUAGAUCUAGGCGUCAGUGUUAAAAUGAUUACAGGUGACCAGCUAGCCAUUGGCAAAGAGACAGGAAGGAGGCUUGGAAUGGGAACAAAUAUGUAUCCAUCUACAGCUCUGCUUGGUGAGGGUGGCAAUGAAGCAACCGGCUCUCUACCUAUUGAUGAACUCAUUGAGAAAGCUGAUGGCUUUGCUGGAGUGUUCCCAGGUACAUUUUUAUUUCCCUUUCUAUGUUCUAACAACUGCAACUCCAUGAACUUUGACCAAUCAAACACUGACUAAGUUUGUUCACAUGUAUACAGAACAUAAGUACGAGAUUGUGAGGAGACUUCAAGCCAGAAAGCAUAUUUGUGGAAUGACAGGAGAUGGGGUGAACGAUGCACCUGCUCUCAAGAAAGCCGACAUUGGUAUUGCUGUGGCGGAUUCCACUGAUGCAGCAAGAAGCGCUUCUGAUAUAGUCCUGACAGAACCUGGUCUCAGCGUCAUCAUUAGUGCUGUCUUGACUAGCCGCUCCAUCUUCCAGAGAAUGAAGAAUUACACAGUAAAAUCGUCUCCUUGCUGCUAAUAUUGCAACCUCACAAAGAUACACUAACCACUUCUCUUACCUUCAAACCAUUUGAAUGUUUC